AAGGUUUUGUCUCCUUGAAUGUGGCUCUUCAUAAUAAUCUCUUGAAGUGCUGCGUUUUUGUCCUUAAAGUUCUAUUUUAUUACCUCUUCUGGAUCGGUGAAGGUCGGUUUAACCCUUUAGAGAUGAAAAUCAGGAGCCACUUUAGGAAAAUGUUGCUUUUUUUCUUUACUAAUUCGUGGUUGCAAUAAUAUUUUAUUGAGGAUUUUUUUCCCCCCAGCCCAGUCCUGCAUGCUGAAGGAAGUGUGUGCUUCAGCACUGAUUAAAGUCAUGUAUGAGUUAAUGAGAAGCUUGCAGAGUAUGUGAAGCAAGAGAAAAUCUUUAACCAGCUCUGCUGUUCCUUCUACAUACCACAAACUUGCACGCUGUAACCAGAAGGUGGAUUGAAUAUGUGUGAAAUGCUGCAGUAGGAGACUCUUAAAUCGCAUCACAGGCUUGCCCUGGAAAAAGGAGAGAGUGACCUUUCCCCAUCUGGAGUAGAUGGAUUUGCCAUCAACAAUUGUAAAUGGAUGACUUAAUGAUGGGGUCCACGCUUGGAAUUUUGAAUUCUGUGAUUUCACCGCGUCUCCGGAGUUCUGCACAUGGUCUUCUCUGAACUGGUUGCAGAAAAGCUUUCAGAGGGGCUGCUGGUGCUGGUUAUUUCCUCUAAUUUGGAGUUUCCUCACACUGGGCUUUAGGAGUCUCUGUUGGCUGCCUCACACCAGGAUUUUGAGGAAAUUGUAUCCCACUUCAUCCAUAAGGACAUCAACCUCCAGCAUAAAAACAAUGUUGCACCAGACCAAACGCUCUACUGAUUUUGGGGGCUGUGAGAUCAACUGUGUCUUCCUUUACCCAGAAAAAUCUGCUUCCUUAUCAAAGAGAGACAUCAGCUUUGUCUGGCAUGAUUGCCUGCGUUAAACCUUUUUUUUUUGCAUUUUAUCUCUUUACUUUCCUCUACAUCUUUGCCCCCUCCAGAGGAAAAAUAAUUUACAUUUUGCAUCUUGCUGAGGUCAGGUUAAUUAGCCUCCAGUUGUCUGGACUUACUUUCCAGGUAUUUGUAUUGAUUUUGGGGUGGUUUUUUCUCCUUUCUCCCCAUAAUAGGAUGCCAAUUUUUGAUUAUUUUUGUACUUCUAGAAGUGAUAGAAAAAAAAAACACUCAUUUGCAUCACAACUCAACUAUAAGGCUUCAUGUUUUGAUUGGGUUUUGCUUGUUGGUGGGGUUUUUUUUGUUUGGUAUUUUUGCCUUUUUAAAGAAAGAUGCUUUGUCACGACUGUGGAUGCAGGAAAAAGUAAUGAAUUGCAAAGUUCUUCAAAAAAUAAUGAUAAUGAGAAGGUCCUUAAGCAAUGAUAGCUGGGUCCAGGGCUCUGUUAUCCUGUGGGACUGUUGAUAAGUGCCAGUGGCUGAUCACUGACAUGCAGAACUUCUGUUCCUUGUGCUGCUUCAGCUUUAUUUAAACAGAAACUGAAGUGUGCUGGGGACUCUGCACUCGUGCACGAGGUAGUCCUGAACAAAACACACUCUAAGAAUAGACAAAGUAAACAAAACAAUGGGAAGACAGUGAAUCCAGAGGGUCAGGAUUACGUAGGGAAGGCUCCAGUGCUCUCAGUGCCCUCAUGAACCCAUGGCACGGGAAAACCGAGGUCAGCCACUAUGUUUCCUGCAGCUGGGGAAAAGUCAUAUUUUUAAAUGCUUUGUUUUGUCGUGUAGUUAAUUCCACUCUUUUCUAACAGCUAAACUGAACAGGAAUCUUUCUGAGCAGGUUUCACUCAGGUACCCAAUUCUACCUAAUUAAAUGUUUGGAUUCGG